UUUUUGUUGAUGAAAAUUUUCUCUUUUGCUCUAGGAAAGAGGUCUAUGCAAAGGCUCUGUGGUAAACAGUGAGGAAGAUAAAAAGAAAUAUAUCACUGUAGAAUGCCAUUUCUUCCCACGUCCGCCACCAGUUACAGGUGAACAGACUCCACAAUCCAAGUCUGCGCAGGAGGAGCAUCAUGAUGGUCGUGAAAGACACGGAGAUCGCCAUGAAGAGAGUGGACACCAUCACCACCACUCUGGUUCCCACCACCACAAACAUCAGAAACAGCAGGAGCCACACCAGCCUCACCCCACAGCUGAAAUCCAAGAGAUACAAUUAAAUCAAAAGAAAUUAGUGGGCAAGGUGAUCGUCCAUCCUCCUUUGAGCAAACAUUCAUUACAGGAAGUGCGAGAGCCCAACCCAACCUCUGGCUCCACUCUUGCUUCUCCAGAACAGGAAGCCGGGCCUCACUCAUCCAAGCCAAAUGGGCCAGCCAUUUCUCCUUUCCCCAGAGAGUUUUCACAAUCAGACCGAUGUCCAGGAGAUACUUUAGUAGUAAUCCCUGGCCUUGAACUGCCUUCCCGGCCAUAGGUUGAAACCUCCUAAACAAACAGGAAUGUACAACGCUGAUAGCUUAAUUCAGAGGAAACAUAGCAAAACUCUCUGGAUGAGCAGGAAAAGGAAGGGAGGGAAAACAUUCUAAAGCUCUUUCAUUACCAAAAAGUAUCUGGAAAUGUGGAUGUAGACAGUAUUGAUUUAGGUGAGCAUAUUAGAGAAUCCUUCUAAUAUUGAAGUAAAUAAAUACUGGCAAUUAAGCUCCCUUAA